CCCCCCUUUUUUUUCUUUAAUCUUUUAUAGUUUAUUCAAAACAUAAUAUUUUCAAUAUUAAAAUAAAUUU
rnacentral:tRNA from 1 species